UACGAAGGACCCAAGCGUUAUCCGGAUUUAUUGGGGUUAAAGGGUGCGUAGGCGGGUUAUUAAGUCAGUGGUGAAAGCUCCUAGCUCAACUGGGAAAUUGCCAUUGAUACUGAUGAUCUUGAGUAUGAUUGAGGUGGGCGGAAUGUGUCAUGUAGCGGUGAAAUGCUUAGAUAUGACACAGAACACCGAUUGCGAAGGCAGCUUACUAAGCCAUAACUGACGCUGAUGCACGAAAGCGUGGGGAGCAAACAGG
rnacentral:rRNA from 1 species